ACGAGGCGUAUCUCAGACAGG
rnacentral:miRNA from 1 species